rnacentral:rRNA from 1 species
UACGGGGGGGACUAGCUUUAUUCGGAAUUAUUGGGCGUAAAGGGUGCGUAGGCUGUUAUAUAAGUGAGAUAUUAAAUCCCCGGGCUUAACCUUGGAAUCGUAUCUCAUACUGUAUAACUAGAAUUUGGUAGAGGAGAAUGGAAUUUUUAGUGUAGGGGUGAAAUCCAUAGAUAUUAAAAGGAAUGUCAAAGGCGAAGGCAAUUCUCUGGACCAAUAUUAACGCUGAGGCACGAAAGUGUGGGGAGCAAACAGG